AUGAAACCACGGCAGAUGCACAGCUCAGUGACAGAACACUGUGAUACACAGCAACCUACUGAACAACACCAUGCUCUCAGCACUCAAGUUUCAGAGAACUCCAAGGCACUUUUCCUGCCUGCGACUUCUACAUAAAUCUGCAGUUGAAGUGCAGGAAAGGCCUGCCCCAGAGGAGACAGUCACCAGCAGUUUUGGAGGGUUCAUCCACUCUGUGCACCCGGGCCAGCUGUCAGACACUGUGCUGCACUGCAGUAAGAGGA